rnacentral:rRNA from 1 species
AUUGAACGCUAGCGGGAUGCCUUACACAUGCAAGUCGAACGGAGUGGCGAACGGGUGAGUAAUGUAACGGAACGUGCCCAGUAGCGGGGGAUAACUACGCGAAAGCGUAGCUAAUACAGAAUACUCUUGGAGAGGCCGCUAUCGACUUAGCUAGGUGGUGGGGUAACGGCUCACCAAGGCGCCGCUCCGUAGCUGGGUUGAGAGGACGACCAGCCACACUGGGACUGUGACACGGCCCAGACUCCUCAGGGAGGCAGCAGUGGGGAAUUUUGGAGAAUGGGGGAAACCCUGAUCCAGCCAUCCCGCGUGUGCGAUGAAGGCCUUCGGGUUGUAAAGCACUUUUGGCAGGAAAGCGGUACCUGCAGAAUAAGCACCGGCUAACUACGUGCCAGCAGCCGCGGUAAUAC